GGAUAACCUACCUAUAAGACUGGGAUAACUUCGGGAAACCGGAGCUAAUACCGGAUAAUAUUUUGAACCGCAUGGUUCAAAAGUGAAAGACGGUCUUGCUGUCACUUAUAGAUGGAUCCGCGCUGCAUUAGCUAGUUGGUAAGGUAACGGCUUACCAAGGCAACGAUGCAUAGCCGACCUGAGAGGGUGAUCGGCCACACUGGAACUGAGACACGGUCCAGACUCCUACGGGAGGCAGCAGUAGGGAAUCUUCCGCAAUGGGCGAAAGCCUGACGGAGCAACGCCGCGUGAGUGAUGAAGGUCUUCGGAUCGUAAAACUCUGUUAUUAGGGAAGAACAUAUGUGUAAGUAACUGUGCACAUCUUGACGGUACCUAAUCAGAAAGCCACGGCUAACUACGUGCCAGCAGCCGCGGUAAUACGUAGGUGGCAAGCGUUAUCCGGAAUUAUUGGGCGUAAAGCGCGCGUAGGCGGUUUUUUAAGUCUGAUGUGAAAGCCCACGGCUCAACCGUGGAGGGUCAUUGGAAACUGGAAAACUUGAGUGCAGAAGAGGAGAGUGGAAUUCCAUGUGUAGCGGUGAAAUGCGCAGAGAUAUGGAGGAACACCAGUGGCGAAGGCGACUCUCUGGUCUGUAACUGACGCUGAUGUGCGAAAGCGUGGGGAUCAAACAGGAUUAGAUACCCUGGUAGUCCACGCCGUAAACGAUGAGUGCUAAGUGUUAGGGGGUUUCCGCCCCUUAGUGCUGCAGCUAACGCAUUAAGCACUCCGCCUGGGGAGUACGACCGCAAGGUUGAAACUCAAAGGAAUUGACGGGGACCCGCACAAGCGGUGGAGCAUGUGGUUUAAUUCGAAGCAACGCGAAGAACCUUACCAAAUCUUGACAUCCUUUGACAACUCUAGAGAUAGAGCCUUCCCCUUCGGGGGGGCAAAGUGACAGGUGGUGCAUGGUUGUCGUCAGCUCGUGUCGUGAGAUGUUGGGUUAAGUCCCGCAACGAGCGCAACCCUUAAGCUUAGUUGCCAUCAUUAAGUUGGGCACUCUAAGUUGACUGCCGGUGACAAACCGGAGGAAGGUGGGGAUGACGUCAAAUCAUCAUGCCCCUUAUGAUUUGGGCUACACACGUGCUACAAUGGACAAUACAAAGGGCAGCGAAACCGCGAGGUCAAGCAAAUCCCAUAAAGUUGUUCUCAGUUCGGAUUGUAGUCUGCAACUCGACUACAUGAAGCUGGAAUCGCUAGUAAUCGUAGAUCAGCAUGCUACGGUGAAUACGUUCCCGGGUCU
rnacentral:rRNA from 1 species